GACGAACGCUGGCGGCGUGCUUAACACAUGCAAGUCGAACGAAGUGGCGAACGGGUGAGUAACGCGUAAUCAACCUGCCCUUCAGAGGGGGACAACAGUUGGAAACGACUGCUCAUAACACAUACUGAAGGAGGGGAUGGCGUCUGAUUAGCUAGUUGGAGGGGUAACGGCCCACCAAGGCGAUGAUCGGUAGCCGGUCUGAGAGGAGGAACGGCCACAGUGAGACUGAGACACGGCCCAGACUCCUACGGGAGGCAGCAGUGGGGAAUCUUCCGCAAUGGACGAAAGUCUGACUGAGCAACGCGGCGUGAGUGAUGACGGCCUGCGGGUUGGAAAGCUCUGUUAAUCGGGACGCGGUACCGGAAUAGAAAGCCACGGCUAACUACGUGCCAGCAGCCGCGGUAAUUC
rnacentral:rRNA from 1 species